GCCUACCAUGCAAGUCGAGCGGUAGCACAGAGAGCUUGCUCUCGGGUGACGAGCGGCGGACNUUUUGAGUAAUGUCUGGGAAACUGCCUGAUGGAGGGGGAUAACUACUGGAAACGGUAGCUAAUACCGCAUAACGUCGCAAGACCAAAGUGGGGGACCUUCGGGCCUCAUGCCAUCAGAUGUGCCCAGAUGGGAUUAGCUGGUAGGUGGGGUAACGGCUCACCUAGGCGACGAUCCCUAGCUGGUCUGAGAGGAUGACCAGCCACACUGGAACUGAGACACGGUCCAGACUCCUACGGGAGGCAGCAGUGGGGAAUAUUGCACAAUGGGCGCAAGCCUGAUGCAGCCAUGCCGCGUGUGUGAAGAAGGCCUUCGGGUUGUAAAGCACUUUCAGCGGGGAGGAAGGCGGUGAGGUUAAUAACCUCANCGAUUGACGUUACCCGCAGAAGAAGCACCGGCUAACUCCGUGCCAGCAGCCGCGGUAAUACGGAGGGUGCAAGCGUUAAUCGGAAUUACUGGGCGUAAAGCGCACGCAGGCGGUCUGUCAAGUCGGAUGUGAAAUCCCCGGGCUCAACCUGGGAACUGCAUUCGAAACUGGCAGGCUAGAGUCUUGUAGAGGGGGGUAGAAUUCCAGGUGUAGCGGUGAAAUGCGUAGAGAUCUGGAGGAAUACCGGUGGCGAAGGCGGCCCCCUGGACAAAGACUGACGCUCAGGUGCGAAAGCGUGGGGAGCAAACAGGAUUAGAUACCCUGGUAGUCCACGCUGUAAACGAUGUCGAUUUGGAGGUUGUGCCCUUGAGGCGUGGCUUCCGGAGCUAACGCGUUAAAUCGACCGCCUGGGGAGUACGGCCGCAAGGUUAAAACUCAAAUGAAUUGACGGGGGCCCGCACAAGCGGUGGAGCAUGUGGUUUAAUUCGAUGCAACGCGAAGAACCUUACCUGGUCUUGACAUCCACAGAACUUUCCAGAGAUGGAUUGGUGCCUUCGGGAACUGUGAGACAGGUGCUGCAUGGCUGUCGUCAGCUCGUGUUGUGAAAUGUUGGGUUAAGUCCCGCAACGAGCGCAACCCUUAUCCUUUGUUGCCAGCGGUUAGGCCGGGAACUCAAAGGAGACUGCCAGUGAUAAACUGGAGGAAGGUGGGGAUGACGUCAAGUCAUCAUGGCCCUUACGACCAGGGCUACACACGUGCUACAAUGGCAUAUACAAAGAGAAGCGACCUCGCGAGAGCAAGCGGACCUCAUAAAGUAUGUCGUAGUCCGGAUUGGAGUCUGCAACUCGACUCCAUGAAGUCGGAAUCGCUAGUAAUCGUAGAUCAGAAUGCUACGGUGAAUACGUUCCCGGGCCUUGUACACACCGCCCGUCACACCAUGGGAGUGGGUUGCAAAAGAAGUAGGUAGCUUAACCUUCGGGAGGGCGCUUACCACUUUGUGAUUCAUGACUGGGGUGAAGUCGUAACAAGGUAACCAA
rnacentral:rRNA from 1 species